rnacentral:rRNA from 1 species
CCUACGGGUGGCUGCAGUGAGGCAUAUUGGUCAAUGGCCGUAAGGCUGAACCAGCCAAGUAGCGUGAGGGAAGACUGCCCUAUGGGUUGUAAACCUCUUUUAUGCGGGGAUAAAGGUUUCCACGUGUGGCUGUUUGCAGGUACCUCAUGAAUAAGGACCGGCUACUUCCGUGCCAGCAGCCGCGGUAAUACUGAAGGUCCGGGCGUUCUCCGGAUUUAUUGGGUUUAAAGGGAGCGUAGGCCGGUCUUUAAGCUUGCCGUGAAAUUUUGUGGCUCAACCAUGAGAGUGCGGCGCGAACUGGAGACCUUGAGUGGGAGGAAGGAAGGCGGAAUUCGUGGUGUAGCGGUGAAAUGCUUAGAUAUCGCGAAGAACCCCGAUUGCGAAGGCAGCCUGCCGCAGCGUUACUGACGCUGAAGCACGAAAGCGCGGGUAUCGAACAGGAUUAGAUACCCGGGUAGUC